UCACCCCUCAAGCUCUAAGCUUGGUCUUGGGGCCUGCCCGUCACUGGGCAGCCCUUAAAAUCAGUGGCGGCGCCUCUCUGGCUUCACGCGUAGUACUACACGUCGCGAUGAAGUCGGGAGGGUGUCCUGCCAGAACACCACACUUUUACAC
rnacentral:misc_RNA from 1 species